rnacentral:lncRNA from 1 species
GGGGGCAAAGGGACAACAUGUGGGGAACUCUGUUUCCCCCUCCAAUAAAAGUGUAUCACCGAUGAAUCCGGCACCUUUUAGUUACAUUAAUAAAAUGUUUCUCUUUAAACCUUGCUGCAGGUUUCUUCUUAAAGUGAUUACAUUCGACUAAUAUUGACUACUCAAAUUGACUAAAAACACCAUGAGAAGGCACCCGAGACAACAAAAUCC